rnacentral:rRNA from 1 species
GACGAACGCUGGCGGCGUGCUUAACACAUGCAAGUCGAACGGUGAAAGCGGAGCUUGCUCCGCUGGAUCAGUGGCGAACGGGUGAGUAACACGUGGGCAACCUGCCCCUCACUUCGGGAUAACUCCGGGAAACCGGGGCUAAUACCGGAUAUGACCUCCUUGGGCAUCCUUGGAGGUGGAAAGUUUUUCGGUGAGGGAUGGGCCCGCGGCCUCUCAGCUUGUUGGUGAGGUAGUGGCUAACCAAGGCGACGACGGGUAGCCGGGCUGAGAGGGCGACCGGCCACACUGGGACUGAGACACGGACCAGACUCCUCAGGGAGGCAGCAGUGGGGAAUAUUGAGCAAUGGGCGAAAGCCUGACGCAGCAACGCCGCGUGCGGGGUGACGGCCUUCGGGUUGUAAACCUCUUUCAGCACCGACGAAGCGCAAGUGACGGUAGGUGCAGAAGAAGGACCGGCCAACUACGUGCCAGCAGCCGCGGUAA